CUCUCUCUCUCUCUCUCCCAUACUCUGCAGUCCGCAGUAGACAGGAGUUACAGUUGUCCACGUUGCGAGGCACCAGGCGGGGGGGAGGAGAGGAGAUUCUGGUUGAUCUGGACCCGAGACGGGUGGAUCGCUGCACUGAGUUCCCCGCCACGUCUGCGGUGUGCGCCGGGUGGAUUCUCGGGCCCGUUUGCUCGGGUGGUCGACCGGUCGGCCCGUACCUUCUGCCGCGAUCGGGAUCUGGCAUGCGAGGAGGCUGUGAGGACGCUGAAAAUAAAUAAAUAAAUACACUUGGCGGGACUGCACUUGCGUAAACCGCUGCUGCUCUGCCUCUUGUUGCUGCACUGGCCCAUGUGGAUGUGCUUAUAGCUCACUAACAGGACUUGCUAUUUUUAGGAACCUAGGCGUAUUAUUUGCAUUGUUCGCACAUGGAAAAAAUAAUAUUUGGAUUGGGCUUGCUGGGCUAGUGAACUUGGCCCUCCUCCGCUUUGCGUCGGCAACAGACUUGUUUGAUGGCACAAAGCCAGUUCCCUUUUUUCGUUGGGCAACAUUGACGCCUUUGAAAAGGAAAUGGUGUAUAAGUGUGGUCGUUGCUGGAUACAACCACUAAGGCUAGAUCAAUGGUUUCAUCAAAGAAAGAAGCCUAUAAACUUCAUGCGAUGUCUUCAACAAUGGAGUGUCCCGUGAACGACGCCAUUACGAGGUUCAACUAAUGAAAGGUUGUGUCACAUCCUAAAUGCCAUUUUCUAAAUAUCCACACACGUGCGUCAUGUUUUUUUAGUUGGGUGCAUACAACUUCGACAAGAUUGUGAGCAAUGGCGGAGCUACACAAAAAUAGAUUGGAG
rnacentral:lncRNA from 1 species